rnacentral:rRNA from 1 species
UCCCAAAAAGGUAUGCGAAAGGUAAUAAUACCGCAUGGACCUCAAAGCAAUUUGAGGCAAAGCAGCAAUGCGCUUUUGGGGGGGGGCGCGGCCUAUCAGCUAGUUGGUGAGGUUAAGGCUCACCAAGGCAGCGACGGGUAGCUGGUCUGAGAGGACGACCAGCCACACUGGAACUGAGACACGGUCCAAACACCUACGGGGGGUAGCAGUCGAGAAUUUUUCGCAAGGGGGGAAACCCAGAAGGAGCGACGCCGCGUGAAGGAUGAAGGCUUUCGGGUUGUAACCUCCUGUCAUUUGGGAACAAAGUCCGCCUCUGGGGGAUGUGAAAAAACCGGAAAAGGAAGAGACGGCUAACUCUGUGCCAGAAGCCGCGGAAAUACAGAGGCCUCAAGCGUUGUUCGGAUUCAUUGGGCGUAAAGGGCGCGUAAGCUGCGGGGUAAGUCAGGUGUGAAAUCUCAGAGCUCAACCUCUGAAAAUUGCACUUGAUACUGCUCUGCUGGAGGACUGGAGAGGAGAUUUGGAAUUCUCGGUGAA